AACCAAGUCUCUAAGCAAUGGAUGUCUUGGCUCCUCACACGAUGAAGAACGUGGCAUAAUGUGUUAAGUAACCGGAGUUGCAAACAUCAUGACAGGUUAAUCUUUGAAUGCAAAUUGCGCUAAACUCGAUCUCGGUCGAGAAGCAUGGGUGUGACAGUACUACAUCUUUUAUAAUAAUUCUUAUUCUAAGCGAAUAAGUAAAUAAUAUAUAAGACAAACAACACGUAGUCUGCCAUACGCAGGAAGACCCGCUGAACUGAAGCAUCUCAUUAAGCGGAGGAAAAGAAACUAACUAGGAUUCCCUUAGUAAAGGGCGAUCGAAAAGGGAACAGCC
rnacentral:ncRNA from 1 species